UGAUCCUGGCUCAGGACGAACGUGGCGGCGUGCCUAAUACAUGCAAGUCGAGCGAAUCGGAGGGAGCUUGCUCCCAAAGAUUAGCGGCGGACGGGUGAGUAACACGUGGGCAACCUGCCUGUAAGACUGGAUAACUUCGGGAAACCGGAGCUAAUACCGGAUAAUCUUUUCCUCACAUGAGGGAAAGCUGAAAGUCGGUUUCGGCUGUCACUUAGAGAUGGGCCCGCGGCGCAUUAGCUAGUUGGUGAGGUAACGGCUCACCAAGGCGACGAUGCGUAGCCGACCUGAGAGGGUGAUCGGCCACACUGGGACUGAGACACGGCCCAGACUCCUACGGGAGGCAGCAGUAGGGAUCUUCCGCAAUGGACGAAAGUCUGACGGAGCAACGCCGCGUGAGCGAAGAAGGCCUUCGGGUCGUAAAGCUUUGUUGUCAGGGAAGAACAAGUGCGGAGUAACUGCCGGCACCUUGACGGUACCUGACCAGAAAGCCACGGCUAACUACGUGCCAGCAGCCGCGGUAAUACGUAGGUGGCAAGCGUUGUCCGGAAUUAUUGGGCGUAAAGCGCGCGCAGGCGGUCCUUUAAGUCUGAUGUGAAAGCCCACGGCUCAACCGUGGAGGGUCAUUGGAAACUGGGGGACUUGAGUGCAGAGAGGAGAGUGGAAUUCCACGUGUAGCGGUGAAAUGCGUAGAGAUGUGGAGGAAGACCGUGGCGAAGGCGACUCUCUGGUCUGUAACUGACGCUGAGGCGCGAAAGCGUGGGGAGCGAACAGGAUUAGAUACCCUGGUAGUCCACGCCGUAAACGAUGAGUGCUAAGUGUUAGAGGGUUUCCGCCCUUAGUGCUGCAGCAAACGCAUUAAGCACUCCGCCUGGGGAGUACGGCCGCAAGGCGAACUCAAAGGAAUUGACGGGGGCCCGCACAAGCGGUGGAGCAUGUGGUUUAAUUCGAAGCAACGCGAAGAACCUUACCAGGUCUUGACAUCCUCUGACAACCCUAGAGAUAGGGCGUUCCCCUUCGGGGGACAGAGUGACAGGUGGUGCAUGGUUGUCGUCAGCUCGUGUCGUGGAUGUUGGGUUAAGUCCCGC
rnacentral:rRNA from 1 species